UAGGGAAUCUUCGGCAAUGGACGAAAGUCUGACCGAGCAACGCCGCGUGAGUGAAGAAGGUUUUCGGAUCGUAAAACUCUGUUGUUAGAGAAGAACAAGGACGUUAGUAACUGAACGUCCCCUGACGGUAUCUAACCAGAAAGCCACGGCUAACUACGUGCCAGCAGCCGCGGUAAUACGUAGGUGGCAAGCGUUGUCCGGAUUUAUUGGGCGUAAAGCGAGCGCAGGCGGUUUCUUAAGUCUGAUGUGAAAGCCCCCGGCUCAACCGGGGAGGGUCAUUGGAAACUGGGGACCUUGAUUGCAGAAGAGGAGGGUGAAAUUCCUUUGUUAGCGGUGAAUGCGUAGAUAUAUGGAGGAACACCAGUGGCGAAGGCGGCUCUCUGGUCUGUAACUGACGCUGAGGCUCGAAAGCGUGGGGAGCAAACAGG
rnacentral:rRNA from 1 species